UGGCGAACGGGUGAGUAACACGUGGGUGAUCUGCCUUGCACUCUGGGAUAAGCUUGGGAAACUGGGUCUAAUACCGGAUAGGAACCGUCUUUAGUGUGAUGGUUGGAAAGUUUUUCGGUGUAGGAUGAGCUCGCGGCCUAUCAGCUUGUUGGUGGGGUAAUGGCCUACCAAGGCGGCGACGGGUAGCCGGCCUGAGAGGGUGGACGGCCACAUUGGGACUGAGAUACGGCCCAG
rnacentral:rRNA from 1 species